rnacentral:lncRNA from 1 species
AGAGUUAAGAACAGAUUAAGUGUCAAAGAUGGACUUUUGCUUUGGGAUGGAUUCUUCAUCAGCUUUGAAAGACUGCGUCUUUGUGCUUGUCUCCAGUUUCCAGAGUUUACUUGCCCUUCCUUCCUAUCUUCUGUUUUACCUGUCCUUGUAACUUUUGAAGAGAUUGCACCACAGAAACCAAGUCCUGGUAAGGUCCCUGCAUGUUGCAUGAGGCAGCACAUCAUUGGCUUCAUACGUGGAGUCUAUAGGAACAAUAACAGCUUCAAAUAUACGUGGCUCCUCCUGCUCUUGUUUGUGGGGCUGGAUUUCCUGUGGCAACAUCUGAAGACAGGCAGGCACCUGGUUGGCACCAAUGCUGCAGAGGGAUGCUAACUGCCCCUACUGCUGAGGUGCAAAUACAGAAAACCUUGUGACAAUUCAUUCAAUGCUGCUGCAAUUCCCAGCUGAGAAAAGGCCUUCCAUGCAGUACCCGGUUUGGUAUGACUGGAUGUCUGCUGGGGCUCUAUGGAGACACUGGUGUCAUUGAGCCAUGGGACAUGAAUGUAAUUGCUCAGGUUAGUGCUGGUUUAGGGAUUUAUGCAGCACUCUGACCCAGGUCUUGAUAGCCACGGUUCUUCAACUGUUGCUUCCCCUGACUGGUAACUGUGAAAAGUGUAUAUAUGAGCUGUACAUCCAUUGAAUCCUUUUCUGUUACUGAGAUCAGAAAAAUCACCUCUGCAUUUGCUAAUAAUACUACUUAGAUAAGUACAUUUUUUCAAAUGCUGUGUUGCUGGCACUACAUAAUCAUGUUAUAAAGUUAAUUAUCUCUUUAAUUGGUUAUUUUAAAGUCUAGCAGUAAACUUAGGAGAGAUGAAAUUAAUCUGCAAGAACUUGAUGGGGACAAAGCAAGGACUACAGAAAAUCAGAAAUAUUAUGCAUAAUUAAGAAAACUGUUAAUAAUAACUUUAAUCAAUGAAAUUAGAGAUGGAAAGGCUGCAAGGUCAUGUAUUUCAUCCAAGGCCUCUGAAAGCUUAUUUCCUUAUCACUGUGAGAACAGUUUUCAAUUUCAUGCCUGAUUUUGGCUCAUCCUUCACUUCUAGCUAACCAGCAAAAUCUUUCUGAAUUUCACAAUCUGAUACUACUUUUUUUCCAGAAAUCUUAAGGCAAACCGAAGAUGGUAUUUUCAAGAACGGAGGGUUAAAAAUAUGAGGGAUUUCCAUUUGAA